CUCUUCUAGAUCUACUCAACAAAGUAAGCUGAAUUGUUUACUCCCAUUGUUGACGAUCCCAAAUUGCUUUUAAUGUCCUUGGAAUGCGCAUCGUCUUUCGACUAAAGCCAGGCUGUCUCUCACCUCCAGCAGAAUGGAUGGGUGAUCUUCAAACACAGAAGGAGUGUGUGAAGGGAGGCAGAUUUGGGACAGAGUACCCGUGGAGACCUGAGCGCAUCGGUAAGUAUAGAACAAUGAUAUUGGCUCCUGGAGGGAGGUGCCCAGGCAUCCAGGGAGUUUACGUGACAGGGCCAG